rnacentral:rRNA from 1 species
GUCGAACGAUGACCCGGUGCUUGCACCGGUGAUUAGUGGCGAACGGGUGAGUAACACGUGAGUAACCUGCCCUUAACUCUGGGAUAAGCCUGGGAAACUGGGUCUAAUACCGGAUAUGACUCCUCAUCGCAUGGUGGGGGGUGGAAAGCUUUUUGUGGUUUUGGAUGGACUCGCGGCCUAUCAGCUUGUUGGUGAGGUAAUGGCUCACCAAGGCGACGACGGGUAGCCGGCCUGAGAGGGUGACCGGCCACACUGGGACUGAGACACGGCCCAGACUCCUACGGGAGGCAGCAGUGGGGAAUAUUGCACAAUGGGCGAAAGCCUGAUGCAGCGACGCCGCGUGAGGGAUGACGGCCUUCGGGUUGUAAACCUCUUUCAGUAGGGAAGAAGCGAAAGUGACGGUACCUGCAGAAGAAGCGCCGGCUAACUACGUGCCAGCAGCCGCGGUAAUACGUAGGGCGCAAGCGUUAUCCGGAAUUAUUGGGCGUAAAGAGCUCGUAGGCGGUUUGUCGCGUCUGCCGUGAAAGUCCGGGGCUCAACUCCGGAUCUGCGGUGGGUACGGGCAGACUAGAGUGAUGUAGGGGAGACUGGAAUUCCUGGUGUAGCGGUGAAAUGCGCAGAUAUCAGGAGGAACACCGAUGGCGAAGGCAGGUCUCUGGGCAUUAACUGACGCUGAGGAGCGAAAGCAUGGGGAGCGAACAGGAUUAGAUACCCUGGUAGUCCAUGCCGUAAACGUUGGGCACUAGGUGUGGGGGACAUUCCACGUUUUCCGCGCCGUAGCUAACGCAUUAAGUGCCCCGCCUGGGGAGUACGGCCGCAAGGCUAAACUCAGUU